rnacentral:rRNA from 1 species
CGGAGGUGCAAGCGUUAAUCGGAAUUACUGGGCGUAAAGCGCACGCAGGCGGUUGUUAAGUCAGAUGUGAAAUCCCCGGGCGUCAACCUGGGAACGUGCAUCUGAUACUGGCAAGCUUGAGUCUCGUAGAGGGGGUAGGAAUUCCAGGUGUAGCGGUGAAAUGCGUAGAGAUCUGGAGGAAUACCGGUGGCGAAGGCGGCCCCCUCGGACGAAGACUGACGCUCAGGUGCGAAAGCGUGGGAGCAAACAGGAUU